rnacentral:rRNA from 1 species
CAGCCGCCGCGGUAACACCCGCAGCCCAAGUGGUGGUCGAUUUUAUUGAGUCUAAAACGUUCGUAGCCGGUUUGGUAAAUCUUUGGGUAAAUCGGGAAGCUCAACUUUCCGACUUCCGAAGAGACUGUCAAACUUGGGACCGGGAGAGGCUAGAGGUACUUCUGGGUAGGGGUAAAAUCCUGUAAUCCUAGAAGGACCACCGGUGGCGAAGGCGUCUAGCUAGAACGGAUCCGACGGUGAGGGACGAAGCCCUGGGUCGCAAACGGGAUUAGAUACCCCGGUAGUCCAGGGUGUAAACGCUGCCGACUUGGUGUUGGAGGCCCUUCGGGGGCAUUCAGUGCCGGAGAGAAGUUGUUAAGUCGGCUACUUGGGGAGUACGUCCGCAAGGAUGAAACUUAAAGGAAUUGGCGG